UUUUCUGCUGGGUGAAGCGAGGCAGCUGGGUAAUCUCAAAGGCCUUCCACCCCAGUGGUGACACUUGUGUCUCUCCCACCCCUCCCCAGACCCCUUCCCUCCCUUCCGCCUUCCCAGCUUCCUGACCAGUCUGCUCCCUCCCCUUCUCUGCCAGGUACACUCCCUUCCUGCUGAGCCCUGGCUCUCCAGGCUGUGGCCCGCUUGGCUCCUGCAGGCCGGCUCUGCAGUACGGGUGCAGAGCAGCAGGACACAGGAGAGGCGGCCUGGGAGGAGGACAGCCCAGGCCAAGGCCGAGGUCGAGGAGGCUGGGCAGGGCAGGCAGCCAGCCCCGGCAACCCAGGCCAGAGCUACCUCAGCAGCUUCUGUGAAACUCUAGCAAGGCAUCUACGCUUGAGCGGCAGCCCCAGGGCUGGAGAGGCUCGUGGGGGGAGAGGGACAUUCCGCUGAGGUCAGCACAACCUCUAGAAACCUCUCCGGUGGAGGAGGAGGCCACAGAGUGACCCUGGACUCAGAGGUGCCGGGGGUAGACGCUGGAGUUUCGCAGUGCCAAGGUGUCCUCCCUGCUCCAGCUCCAGCAAACGGGAGGCUGCCACAUGUUCUCAUCACGCCUUCUUCACCUGGAGCCAGAGCCUGCUGCCUGUUGGCCCCUCUGCUAAUGGCUUCCAGGUGUGUCCUUGCGCCCCUGGAGGGAGACUUCCUAGAGGACACACCCCCUCCUGCCCACACCCCAUCCCUCUAGUCACCUUCAGCCACAGUGCCUGGGGCAGGCCCUGGUGCCCUGCUGCAAUCUCAUUCCAGAUGCGAGGGGCGUGGAAGGUAAGACUGCCUCCUUGUCUGAUUGGCUACUGAGUUCUGAGGCCUCAUCACCACCAGUGUGUGGAGCCCAGGUAGGAACAUGAAAGUUGUCCUCUGGAAUAAGACAGCUGGGUGGCCUGCUGCAUCCUUGUGAGACAAGUGUGUCUGUGCCGGUGGCUCUCUGACCAUGGGCCUGUUUCUUCCUGCAUAUCUGCAACUUUCUCUCUGCUGUCUGUCUUGCUAAUAAUUUGUCUCUAUUUCUAAAUCUAUGUAUCCAUGUGCUUCUCUGUGUAUUUCACAGCAAAGUUUUCCUUGACUAUAAUGACAAGUGCCAUCAGUGUUUAUUGUCUAAUAAAUAGAAGUUCAAUAUUGCCUUUCCUGCUUCCCCUCCCUGAGGCCUAAAGUUUUCAUUCCAGAGUUAUUUCCAGCCUGAAUAGGGGAAAUCUGAUUCAUGUUCUUCGGGGAGUGAUUUGGACUUAAGAAGGCAGGAGGCUUGUAGCUGAUGAACUGCAAAGCAUCACUGGUGACAGAAAUCACUCAUGCAUGGCUUGGAGCAGGCCCCAAGGCUCAGACACUUAGUGGUCACUGGGCCCAUCCUCUGGUCUGAGCUGAUGCUUAAGUGAGCAUGUGCUCCUGGAUCCGAGUUACACUGACCACCAGCUCCAUCUGUCCCCAUCCUCACCAUUAUCUCCUUCUUCAUCACUGUCACUACUGUCAUCACCACUAUUACCAUCAUCACCACCACUAUCACCAUCGCCAUUACUGUCAACACCACAAUUCAUACCACAGUCACCAUCAACACCUCUGUUCCAUUACUAAAGUCAGACACUUUCAGGUUGCUUUUCAAUAGCUAUUUCUUCUGUAUCCUCAGUAACAAUACCAUACCUUUUUGCUGGAUACAUUAUCUCACUAGCCCUUCAAAGCUAGUUUAAGUGUGGCUAUGUAAGGGAAAGUGCUAGAUGAAAUUAUGAGAUGUGCCAAUAAAGAGCAGGGGCACCUUUGUUUAUCUUUUUCCUCCAUUUGCUAUCUGAUGGAUGGGCAGCACUCUAGAAAGCCACUCAGACCACAAGAAUGAGGACUAUACCUUAGGGAAGGUAAAGUGGGAGGCUGGAAGGAGUAUGGGGUCAUCAUGCUGUGGAGAGACCACUCAGAUGCUAGACUCCCACAUCUGGGCUUUGUUUUGUGAGAUAACAAACAAACUUCUAUUUCUGCGUCAUUUAAGAGAUUAUUUGGGGCAUUCCGAUGCAUACAGUUGAACCUAUCCUAAUUACUAUACAUCAUUACCACAUAUUACUUUGCAUUGAACAGUCCAGGACAGUGAUCUAUAUACGGGGCCAAGAGGAAAACAACAGGACGUGGGAGAAAUCCCUACCUUGGGAAGUGGCCAUGCUGAUUCAGACAGUGGCAAAAAGGAUAAAGACAUUCAGCACCAUGGACAGAUCAAGGAUCCCAGUUGUCAGGGACAGGGCAGGAAGAGCCCUGAGAGGAGUAGGAAGAAGAGGAAUUCAGAAGCCUACCCACUUUACGGAAGAGGAAGCUGACAGCAGCCCGAGGUGGAGAGAGAGGUCGAAGGUCAUGACAGACCAACCUUGGCAUCCACUCCUGGCUCAGCGUCCUGGGCUCAGGAUGAGGCUUUCCGGGAGAGGAGGACCCUCUCUGAUGCAGCCCGCCAUCCUGGACAGAGCCCUGGGCAAGGACCCUGGGGCCAGGUUUCUAGGCUAAACCCUGACAACCACUGGCUUUGGGACAAGUCCCUGGCCCUCUGGCCUCAGUUUCACCAUUUGUACAGCACAGAGAACAUCUGCUUUGCUCUCCAGUACCCGAUGAUUCUAGGUCAUCUCUGGGCCUCCUUUUCCCAACUGAGGUGUCACCCCCAAUCAAGGCUGCCUACUGUCCUGCCCUUUCCAAGGGAAGGAGCUCUGGUCUUGGCAAUGUCUGUGAUUCCUCAGGGGCUGGAGGCAGAAGGGUCUGUAUGCAGCAGGACAGGGAAAGACUGUUCUGUUCAUUCACUCAUUCACUUAUCCACAGACAUUUACUGCACACUCUCACUAGUCCCUGUACUGGAAACAUAAAAGUGAAGAUGACCUAGUGCCUCCCACUAGGGAAGAUGUCAGAGCUGGGGCUUUUAGUUGCAAGGGCCAGUGUUGAGGGGCGUGCAGUAGCAGAGGGCCUGACCCCAACAGCAUGUAUUUGAGCACUUGUACCCACAUGAGAAAAGACACCACCAGCCUUUUACCUCCACAGACCAAGGGCAUGGUGCAGGGCAGGUGUGGGCGCCUAGCAUGUGGCUAAUCUCUGGAUGCAUGUGCUUGCAUGCAUGGGUCUGAAAGCUUGCCCCUCUGAGAAUGCACCCAGAAACUUACACAGCCCAGAAAUAUGCAUAUUCAAGUAUGUAUGUGCUUAUGAAUCUAAGGACACAUACCAGGACGCACUCAAACCUAUGAUCCUAUGUGCACAUCUAUGAAUGCAUAUGUAUAUGAGUCUAUACAUACUCGCAUGAGGUACACCUAAGCCUGCCUAGAAUGGUGAACAAGCUUGUGUAAGCCUUCCCAUGCAUGUGUAUGCACAUCCAAGUAAGUGUGACUCUGUUCACAUGCAGACACACCUACGUCUGUGUCGAGCUUGCCUUCACCUGUACAGAUACAUAUGUAUGUACAAUCUCAUGUGUGCAUGUGUAUAGAUGUGUCCAGUCCUGCAUGUUCAAGUUACUGUUCUCCAUCUGCCAAUACCUGGGAGAGCUAUUAGUGGGGGAGAAAGGGCUAGGGGAAGGGAAUGCUGGGGGACCCCCACCAUCACCAGCCCUAGUCCUUAAUGUUGGUCUCUGCCCAAGACCCAGGCCACUGCAGGGUCUGCCUCUUCUCCUUAAGUGGUAUUGAUCCGUUGGUCGA